ensembl:lncRNA TNS2-AS1 TNS2 antisense RNA 1
UCACCAGGUACUUGUCCCGGUGCUUGGAUUGCAGCACAUGGGCCAGCUCGCGCAGGUGGCCCCGGUGCCGCUGUUCAUCGGGCCGCGCGGGGAAGGCGGCGGCCAAGAUGCGCUCCGUCACGUAGGAUGAGCAAUACCCACAGCACUCCGUUCAAGGUCAUCUCCUGGGGGCCCUCUCUGGAGCCACCAGACCUCUGGACACCAUGGCCAGGUUCCUUGCCCUCCCCACCCCAUCCCAGAGCGCACUCACCAACUCCACGGGAGGCAAGGCCUGACAGGCUGAAGUCACCUGGAAGGGGACCGAUGCCUGGUACUGGAUAGGAACUUCAUGGAAUGGAGCUAAUGGGCCGUAGGGCAGGUUUGAGUCGUGCCACCCUGGAGCAGAAGGUGGAGGGUAGGGAUAAGGGGGUGGAGCACCUGAUUCCAAUCUUGCCACAGGGAAGAAGAGUCUGUGAAGAAGGUGGAGAGAAACUAGGAGAAAAGCACAGGAUGUAGAGGUCUAUUCGGCAUAAUCUUCUCCCUCAUUUUCAUCUUCACCAUCAACAGAGAGAGCAGCAUACUUGCUUGCAGAACUGAACUUCUGUAACACAACGAGAGUGACAGGAUAAUGAAGGCCCUGAAUUAUCACAUCAAAACCCAAGACACAGGAUACUGAUCCUUUGGCAAUGGGGGAUGACAGUCAGAUGACACCCACUUGCUUGCUCAUCAGCAUUGUCCAUUGGAGAGGAGCUAGGGAAGAGGGUCAGAGGCACAUGCGAUCUUACUAUAGUCUCAUACCACCUCUACACCUUGCAGAAGGGAUGAGAACAAAGGAAGACAGAAACCAGGAAAAAGCUAAACUUCUUUCGCUAUUUCAGUAAAGACCAAUGUCUUAUUUCCAAACACUUUGUAUUCCAAAUGGAAAGAAGUCCAACGGCAAAAAGUUUAGAAUACUAAGAAUUUUUAAUUCUUAGUAAGAAUACUUAGAAUUCUAAGAAUUUUUCUUAGAAUGAAAAAUUGGGAGCAGCCUUCAACACUUACGGAAGCUGGAUUUUCCUCAGGUUUCUUUGGCUCAGGUGCAGAUCUGGAGUCUUGAUCCUUUUUGCCAUCUUUCCUGCAGAGACGUAAGCAUAAAACCAUGUCUUUAGGAAAGGACUCGCCUAAUACAAACAUGUGUAUGCAUGCAGUUUCAAGGCACUGAACAGGCACCUCUAGUCAACAGUCCUUGUUGUCUGGAUGAUGUAUUACUUCUAGAUUUUCAGAAUCUUAACUGUCUACGUUGGCUGACUUUAGUUUGCUCACAAUGAGCGAUCUGGCAGUGCUCUGAGAACCAAGAACUUAAUUUCUUAAUUACACAAACAUGUGGAUCAGAGGAAAGAUGAGAAAGAGAACAAGCAUACCUAUCUGACUCCUUCCAGUGGUCUCUGUUCCCUCCGUCGCCUGGACCACGGCUAGAGUUCCCAGUUUGGCCUUUUGGGGCAUUCAUCCCAUCUACUUUAUUUUCAUCUGCUUGGGCAGUAAUGUAAACAAAUUAAAGGCAAGUAAAAGUAUCAAUGUCCCUCUCCUAAGAUUUCCCUUAAGCUGAAGAAAAUUGUGCCCACAUGUACUGAGGGAAACUAACCUCACCCCAACCCAGACUUCCUUCCUGAAGCCCUUCUUUCCACAUCCUCUACAGCACACAAAAAUACAAAAAACAAACAAAAUCCACUAAAAAGUUCCAUGUAGGGAUAUGCCAUCAUGAAAAGCAAGCUGGAAAUAAAGAUUAUGACGC